AAAUUAUAAAAGGUGAUUUAUUAUCCAUGAGGUGUGACAUAAUUAGAAUUAAAGCGGGGGUUGAUAGACUAUGUCCACCAAAACCUCCACAAAAUUCAAACCACCAAUUCCAAACCCAUCAUCAACCAAAUCUAAUGCCUCCUCUCCACAAGUUAGAAUCCAAGGAGAAUGAGGUCAAGCCUCAAGAUGGAGAUAAAAUG
rnacentral:lncRNA from 1 species